rnacentral:lncRNA from 1 species
AAUGAUUUGAAUUCACAUCCUCUGAUGCCAAAUUGAAUUCUCAUUCCAUUUUUGUCCAUCUGCCCCAUCUAGGCUUGAGACAAUCCGGGCUUGGACCAGAGUGGUGGCAAUGACAGUAGAGAAACAGAAACUCUGAUCCUACGAGAAGAGUGGGCAGGAUCCGGUGUCCCAUUGGACGUAAGCAAUGAAGGAGACACAAUCAAAGUUUUUAAAGUUGAGGACCUAGAAACAAAAGUCACUUCAGAAGAUGAAUUUAAAAAGAGUCUCUGGACCUGACCUAUGCAAUCACAGAAGAAACUCAUGCUGGAGGUAACCCAAGUUUAAAAUCAUCUGGGAGUUGGUCCACAAGAUUUCUCUGAGGGGAAGAUAACUACUUGUCCA